rnacentral:rRNA from 2 species
AGAGUUUGAUCAUGGCUCAGAGUGAACGCUGGCGGUAGGCCUAACACAUGCAAGUCGAACGGCAGCACAGGAGAGCUUGCUCUCUGGGUGGCGAGUGGCGGACGGGUGAGGAAUACAUCGGAAUCUACUCUGUCGUGGGGGAUAACGUAGGGAAACUUACGCUAAUACCGCAUACGACCUACGGGUGAAAGCAGGGGACCUUCGGGCCUUGCGCGAUUGAAUGAGCCGAUGUCGGAUUAGCUAGUUGGCGGGGUAAAGGCCCACCAAGGCGACGAUCCGUAGCUGGUCUGAGAGGAUGAUCAGCCACACUGGAACUGAGACACGGUCCAGACUCCUACGGGAGGCAGCAGUGGGGAAUAUUGGACAAUGGGCGCAAGCCUGAUCCAGCCAUACCGCGUGGGUGAAGAAGGCCUUCGGGUUGUAAAGCCCUUUUGUUGGGAAAGAAAUCCAGCUGGCUAAUACCCGGUUGGGAUGACGGUACCCAAAGAAUAAGCACCGGCUAACUUCGUGCCAGCGGCCGCGGUAAUACGAAGGGUGCAAGCGUUACUCGGAAUUACUGGGCGUAAAGCGUGCGUACGUGGUCGUUUAAGUCCGUUGUGAAAGCCCUGAGCUCAACCUGGGAACUGCAGUGGAUACUGGGCGACUAGAAUGUGGUAGAGGGUAGCGGACUUCCU